UACUGAGGUCUCAAGCGUUGUUCGGAUUCAUUGGGCGUAAAGGGUGCGUAGGUGGCGCCGUAAGUCGGGUGUGAAAUUUCGGAGCUUAACUCCGAAACUGCAUUCGAUACUGCGGUGCUUGAGGACUGGAGAGGAGACUGGAAUUCAUGGUGUAGCAGUGAAAUGCGUAGAGAUCAUGAGGAAGACCAGUGGCGAAGGCGGGUCUCUGGACAGUUCCUGACACUGAGGCACGAAGGCCAGGGGAGCAAACGGG
rnacentral:rRNA from 1 species